GACGAACGCUGGCGGCGUGCUUAACACAUGCAAGUCGAACGGAAAGGCCCUGCUUUUGUGGGGUGCUCGAGUGGCGAACGGGUGAGUAACACGUGAGUAACCUGCCCUUGACUUUGGGAUAACUUCAGGAAACUGGGGCUAAUACCGGAUAGGAGCUCCUGCUGCAUGGUGGGGGUUGGAAAGUUUCGGCGGUUGGGGAUGGACUCGCGGCUUAUCAGCUUGUUGGUGGGGUAGUGGCUUACCAAGGCUUUGACGGGUAGCCGGCCUGAGAGGGUGACCGGCCACAUGGGGACUGAGAUACGGCCCAGACUCCUACGGGAGGCAGCAGUGGGGAAUAUUGCACAAUGGGCGGAAGCCUGAUGCAGCAACGCCGGGUGCGGGAUGACGGCCUUCGGGUUGUAAACCGCUUUGGCCUGUGACGAAGCGUGAGUGACGGUAAUGGGUAAAGAAGCACCGGCUAACUACGUG
rnacentral:rRNA from 1 species